rnacentral:rRNA from 1 species
GCUGGCGGCAGGCUUAACACAUGCAAGUCGAGCGGGCGUAGCAAUACGUCAGCGGCAGACGGGUGAGUAACGCGUGGGAACGUACCUUUUGGUUCGGAACAACACAGGGAAACUUGUGCUAAUACCGGAUAAGCCCUUACGGGGAAAGAUUUAUCGCCGAAAGAUCGGCCCGCGUCUGAUUAGCUAGUUGGUAGGGUAAUGGCCUACCAAGGCGACGAUCAGUAGCUGGUCUGAGAGGAUGAUCAGCCACAUUGGGACUGAGACACGGCCCAAACUCCUACGGGAGGCAGCAGUGGGGAAUAUUGGACAAUGGGGGCAACCCUGAUCCAGCCAUGCCGCGUGAGUGAUGAAGGCCCUAGGGUUGUAAAGCUCUUUUGUGCGGGAAGAUAAUGACGGUACCGCAAGAAUAAGCCCCGGCUAACUUCGUGCCAGCAGCCGCGGUAAUACGAAGGGGGCUAGCGUUGCUCGGAAUCACUGGGCGUAAAGGGUGCGUAGGCGGGUCUUUAAGUCAGGGGUGAAAUCCUGGAGCUCAACUCCAGAACUGCCUUUGAUACUGAAGAUCUUGAGUUCGGGAGAGGUGAGUGGAACUGCGAGUGUAGAGGUGAAAUUCGUAGAUAUUCGCGAGAACACCAGUGGCGAAGGCGGCUCACUGGCCCGAUACUGACGCUGAGGCACGAAAGCGUGGGGAGCAAACAGGAUUAGAUACCCUGGUAGUCCACGCCGUAAGCGAUGAAUGCCAGCCGUUGGUGGGCUUACUCACCAGUGGCGCAGCUAACGCUUUAAGCAUUCCGCCUGGGGAGUACGGUCGCAAGAUUAAAACUCAA